AUUGAACGCUGGCGGCAGGCCUAACACAUGCAAGUCGAACGGUAACAGGAAACAGCUUGCUGUUUCGCUGACGAGUGGCGGACGGGUGAGUAAUGUCUGGGAAACUGCCUGAUGGAGGGGGAUAACUACUGGAAACGGUAGCUAAUACCGCAUAACGUCGCAAGACCAAAGAGGGGGACCUUCGGGCCUCUUGCCAUCAGAUGUGCCCAGAUGGGAUUAGCUAGUAGGUGGGGUAACGGCUCACCUAGGCGACGAUCCCUAGCUGGUCUGAGAGGAUGACCAGCCACACUGGAACUGAGACACGGUCCAGACUCCUACGGGAGGCAGCAGUGGGGAAUAUUGCACAAUGGGCGCAGGCCUGAUGCAGCCAUGCCGCGUGUAUGAAGAAGGCCUUCGGGUUGUAAAGUACUUUCAGCGGGGAGGAAGGGAGUAAAGUUAAUACCUUUGCUCAUUGACGUUACCCGCAGAAGAAGCACCGGCUAACUCCGUG
rnacentral:rRNA from 1 species